CUGAGCUGUCUUCUCCCUCAGGUUCGUCCUCUCUUCCUCCUGAUCUGUCUUCUCCCUCAGGUUCGUUCUCUCUUUCUCCUAAUCUAUCUUGUCCCUCAGGUUCGUCCUCUCUUUCUCCUGAUCGGUCUUGUCCCUCAGGUUUGUUCUCUCUCUUUCUCCUGAUCUGUCUUGUCCCUCAGGUUCGUCCUCUCUUUCUCCUGAGCUGUCUUCUCCCUCAGGUUCGUUCUCUCUUCCUCCUGAUCUGUCUUGUCCCUCAGGUUCGUUCUCUCUUCCUCCUGAUCUGUCUUCUCCCUCAGGUUCGUCCUCUCUUCCUCCUGAUCUGUCUUCUCCCUCAGGUUCGUCCUCUCUUCCUCCUGAUCUGUCUUGUCCCUCAGGUUCGUCCUCUCUUCCUCCUGAUCUGUCUUGUCCCUCAGGUUCGUCCUCUCUUUCUCCUGAUCUAUCUUGUCCCUCAGGUUCAUCCUCUCUUUCUCCUGAUCUGUCUUGUCCCUCAGGUUCAUUCUCGCUUUCUCCUGAGCUGUCUUCUAACAUAAUUGAUGUAUUUAGAAAUAAUAUUAAAUGAAUAGAGAACAGACUAUCUGUUAGUCAAUUU